rnacentral:rRNA from 1 species
UACGUAGGGGGCAAGCGUUGUCUGGAUUUAUUGGGCGUAAAGAGCGUGUAGGCGGCCAGGUAGGUCUGCUGUGAAAACUCGAGGCUUAACCUCGAGAUGUCGGCGGAAACCAUCUGGCUAGAGUCCGGAAGAGGAGAGUGGAAUUCCUGGUGUAGCGGUGAAAUGCGCAGAUAUCAGGAAGAACACCCGUGGCGAAGGCGGCUCUCUGGGACGGUACUGACGCUGAGACGCGAAAGCGUGGGGAGCGAACAGG